rnacentral:rRNA from 1 species
CACGUAGGGUGCGAGCGUUGUCCGGAAUUAUUGGGCGUAAAGAGCUCGUAGGCGGUGUGUCGCGUCGGCCGUGAAAACCUGCAGCUUAACUGUGGGCUUGCGGUCGAUACGGGCAUCACUGGAGUUCGGCAGGGGAGACUGGAAUUCCUGGUGUAGCGGUGAAAUGCGCAGAUAUCCGGAGGAACACCAGCGGCGAAGGCGGCUUUCUGGUCCGAUUCUGACGCUGAGACGCGAAAGCGUGGGGAGCGAUCCGG